rnacentral:rRNA from 1 species
AUACGGAGGGUGCAAGCGUUAAUCGGAAUUACUGGGCGUAAAGCGCGCGUAGGUGGUAAGUUAAGUUGGGUGUGAAAUCCCUGGGCUCAACCCGGGAACUGCAUUCAAAACUGGCUCACUAGAGUAUGGCAGAGGAGAGUGGAAUUCCAGGUGUAGCGGUGAAAUGCGUAGAGAUCUGGAGGAACAUCAGUGGCGAAGGCGACUUUCUGGGCUAAUACUGACACUGAGGUGCGAAAGCGUGGGGAGCAAACAGGAUUAGAAACCCUAGUAGUCC